rnacentral:sRNA from 1 species
GUUUCAAUUCCUCAUAGGCAGGCUAUCGGCCAUUUAAAUUUAUAAGCUUUUCCUCCUUCUUUUUUAUAG